UACGUAGGUGGCAAGCGUUGUCCGGAAUUAUUGGGCGUAAAGCGCGCGCAGGCGGUCCUUUAAGUCUGAUGUGAAAGCCCACGGCUCAACCGUGGAGGGUCAUUGGAAACUGGGGGACUUGAGUGCAGGAGAGAAGAGUGGAAUUCCACGUGUAGCGGUGAAAUGCGUAGAGAUGUGGAGGAACACCAGUGGCGAAGGCGGCGAUCUGGGAAGAUACUGACGCUGAGGUGCGAAAGCGUGGGGAGCAAACAGG
rnacentral:rRNA from 1 species